rnacentral:rRNA from 1 species
AAGUAAAAGUCGUAACAAGGUUUCCGUAGGUGAACCUGCGGAAGGAUCAUUCACAAACGAGUGUUUUAUGGCACUCUUUAAAAAUCCAUAUCCACCUUGUGUGCAAUGUUUGUUGGGAAAGUCUUUUCUUUCCCUUCAUAAAUAUCAACCUAUAUCUUUAACAACAUUCGUCUGAUAACAUAUUAUGAAUAUACUUAAUUCAAAAUAUAACUUUCAACAACGGAUCUCUUGGCUCUCGCAUCGAUGAAGAACGCAGCGAAAUGCGAUACGUAAUGUGAAUUGCAGAAUUCAGUGAAUCAUCGAAUCUUUGAACGCAUAUUGCGCUCUUUGGUAUUCCGAAGAGCAUGCUUGUUUGAGUAUCAGUAAACACCUCAACCUCUCUUUUUGACAAAAAAAGGAGGGUGGACUUGAGCUAUCCCAACGACCUUCACCGGUAGGCGGGCGGCUUGAAAUGCAGGUGCAGCUGGACUUUUAUCUGAGCUAAAAGCAUACCUAUUUAGUCCUCGUCAAACAGGAUUAUUACUUUUGCUGCAGCUAACAUAAAGGAUAAUUGUCCUCUUCGCUGACUGAUGCAGGAUUUUACGACACUUUAUGUGUUGUUCAACUCGAUCUCAAAUCAAGUAAGACUACCCGCUGAACUUAAGCAUAUC